GACGAAGGAUGCAAGCGUUAUCCGGAUUCAUCGGGUUUAAAGGGAGCGUAGGUGGCCUUAUAAGUCAGUGGUGAAAUCUCUCGGCUUAACCGAGAAAUUGCCAUUGAUACUGUAGGGCUUGAGUAUAGUUGCCGUUGGCGGAAUAUGACAUGUAGUGGUGAAAUACAUAGAGAUGUCAUAGAACACCGAUUGCGAAGGCAGCUGACGAAACUAUAACUGACACUGAGGCUCGAAAGUGCGGGGAUCAAACAGG
rnacentral:rRNA from 1 species